GUGGCUUCGGAUCUUAAUUUUUUUAUGCUGGCACUUUUUAAAUCGUGUUUGCAAUGUUUAACUGAAGCCUAUAAUUGUGUUCCCCUCGCUAUCCAAUAUUGCAUUUUUUAUGUUCUAAUUGGACGUCGGGGAACUAAAUUU